rnacentral:rRNA from 1 species
CAGGACUUGACAUAGCAUUGAUCGGUCUAGAGAUAGACCUUCCCUUCGGGGCAAUGUAUACAGGUGGUGCAUGGUUGUCGUCAGCUCGUGUCGUGAGAUGUUGGGUUAAGUCCCGCAACGAGCGCAACCCCUGUUGUUAGUUGCCAUCAUUAAGUUGGGCACUCUAGCGAGACUGCCGGUGACAAAUCGGAGGAAGGUGGGGACGACGUCAAAUCAUCAUGCCCCUUAUGUCCUGGGCUACACACGUACUACAAUGGCUAUUACAGCAGGAUGCAAUAGAGUAAUCUGGAGCCAAUCCUCAAAAAUAGUCCCAGUUCAGAUUGUGGGCUGAAACUCGCCCACAUGAAGUCGGAAUUGCUAGUAAUUGCAGGUCAGCAUACUGCAGUGAAUACGUUCCC